CCCGCCAUCAUCUAGCGGCCCAGGAUGCCGCCCUGUCGAGGCGGUCACACGGGUUCAAAUCCCGUUGGCGGGACCA
rnacentral:tRNA from 4 species